rnacentral:rRNA from 1 species
ACCAUCCUCCAAGGCUAAAUACUCGUGAUCGACCGAUAGUGAACCAGUACCGUGAGGGAAAGGCGAAAAGAACCCCGGAAGGGGAGUGAAAUAGAUCCUGAAACCGCAUGCAUACAAAAAGUCGGAGCCCCAGCUUUAUUGACCUUCGAAGGUUCUUUCGAGGAGCGACGCGCGAGCGGCGCGACUCAAAAGAACGCAACGAUGAAAUUGAUCCGGUGGUGGCAUUUCUUAUUAAUCAUAAGAGCGUUUCUUAUUUGUUAAGGGGGAAUGGUGCUUCGGAUUGCCAAUAGCACUGGGUGACGUAUUGCGCGUAGCGCAAUGCGUCAACACAGCUCUGUUGGGCCGAGCAAGCAAGCCGUAAGGCUUGUGCAGUGAGGGCCAAUAGAGCUGGGGUGACGGCGUACCUUUUGUAUAAUGGGUCAGCGACUUACAUUCAGUAGCGAGCUUAAGCGAAAGCGCAGGCGCAGGGAAACCGAGUCCGAACAGGGCGAUUUAGUUGCUGGGUGUAGACCCGAAACCAGAUGAUCUACUCAUGGCCAGGAUGAAGGUGCGGUAACACGCACUGGAGGUCCGAACCCACUAAUGUUGAAAAAUUAGGGGAUGAGCUGUGGGUAGGGGUGAAAGGCUAAACAAAUCUGGAAAUAGCUGGUUCUCUCCGAAAACUAUUUAGGUAGUGCCUCACGUAUUACUGCUGGGGGUAGAGCACUGUUAUGGCUAGGGGGUCAUGGCGACUUACCAAACCAUUGCAAACUCCGAAUACCGAUGAGUACAGCUUGGGAGACAGUGCACCGGGUGCUAACGUCCGGACACAAGAGGGAAACAACCCAGACCGCCAGCUAAGGUCCCUAAAAUUGGCUAAGUGGGAAACGAAGUGGGAAGGCUAAAACAGUCAGGAUGUUGGCUUAGAAGCAGCCAUCAUUUAAAGAAAGCGUAAUAGCUCACUGAUCGAGUCGUCCUGCGCGGAAGAUGUAACGGGGCUCAAACUGUGCACCGAAGCUGUGGAUUUGUGUGUCUUUCGGGGCAUGCAGAUGGUAGGAGAGCGUUCCCUAGGCCUGUGAAGGUGCACCGAGAGGUGUGCUGGAGGUAUGGGAAGUGCGAAUGCUGACAUGAGUAGCGAUAAAGCGGGUGAAAGGCCCGCUCGCCGAAAGCCCAAGGUUUCCUGCGCAACGUUCAUCGGCGCAGGGUGAGUCGGCCCCUAAGGCGAGGCAGAAAUGCGUAGUCGAUGGGAAACAGGUUAAUAUUCCUGUACCGUUAUCUGAUGCGAUGGGGAGACGGAGAAGGUUAUGCAAGCCGGGUGUUGGAUGUCCUGGUUUAAGCGUGUAGGCGUGGCCCUUAGGCAAAUCCGGGGGUUUUAGCUGAGGCGUGAUGACGAGUCCCCUUCGGGGGAUGAAGUUGCAGAUACCCCGCUUCCAAGAAAAUCCUCUAAGCUUCAGUCAGAUGAUGACCGUACCGCAAACCGACACAGGUGGGCGAGAUGAAUAUUCUCAGGCGCUUGAGAGAACUCAGGAGAAGGAACUCGGCAAAUUGACACCGUAACUUCGGAAGAAGGUGUGCCGCUAGUAGGUGAAGGAGUACAUCCGGAGCCCAAUGCGGUUGCAAAGAAUAGGUGGCUGCGACUGUUUAAUAAAAACACAGCACUCUGCAAACACGUUAAGUGGACGUAUAGGGUGUGACGCCUGCCCGGUGCCGGAAGGUUAAAUGAUGGGGUGCAAGCUCUUGAUUGAAGCCCCGGUAAACGGCGGCCGUAACUAUAACGGUCCUAAGGUAGCGAAAUUCCUUGUCGGGUAAGUUCCGACCUGCACGAAUGGCGUAACGAUGGCCACGCUGUCUCCUCCUGAGACUCAGCGAAGUUGAAAUGUUUGUGAUGAUGCAAUCUACCCGCGGCUAGACGGAAAGACCCCAUGCACCUUUACUGUAGCUUUACAUUGGACUGUGAACCAAUCUGUGUAGGAUAGCUGGGAGGCUUUGAAGCGGGGGCGCUAGCUCUCGUGGAGCCAACCUUGAAAUACCAGCCUGGUUUGUUUGCGGUUCUAACCUAGCCCCCUAUACGGGGGUGGGGACCGUGUAUGGUAGGCAGUUUGACUGGGGCGGUCUCCUCCCAAAGAGUAACGGAGGAGCUCGAAGGUACGCUAGGUACGGUCGGACAUCGUACUGAUAGUGCAAUGGCAUAAGCGUGCUUGACUGCGAGACUGACAAGUCGAGCAGGUGCGAAAGCAGGACAUAGUGAUCCGGUGGUUCUGAAUGGAAGGGCCAUCGCUCAACGGAUAAAAGGUACGCUGGGGAUAACAGGCUGAUUCCUCCCAAGAGUUCACAUCGACGGGGGAGUUUGGCACCUCGAUGUCGGCUCAUCACAUCCUGGGGCUGUAGCCGGUCCCAAGGGUAUGGCUGUUCGCCAUUUAAAGUGGUACGUGAGCUGGGUUUAAAACGUCGUGAGACAGUUUGGUCCCUAUCUGCCGUGGGCGUUGGAAGUUUGAGGGGGGCUGCUCCUAGUACGAGAGGACCGGAGUGGACGUAUCCCUGGUGUACCGGUUGUGACGCCAGUCGCAUCGCCGGGUAGCUAAAUACGGAAGAGAUAACCGCUGAAAGCAUCUAAGCGGGAAACUUGCCUCAAGAUGAGACUUCCCGAGGGCUUGACCCUCCUAAAGGUUCGUCAAAGACGAUGACGUUGAUAGGCUCGGUGUGGAAGGGCAGUAAUGCCUUGAGCUAACGAGUACUAAUUGACCGUGCGGCUUGAUC